AUCGAAAAAUGUAUUAUCAUCAUCAUCAUCAAAGACUACUGGGACCGAGACCCAGUCAACCUUGACAACCUCCGUAAGGUGAGCCGAAACCCAGUCAACAACCAACCGUAUCGGUAAGGAAUAAGACUUGAAAGAAAAUCAGGCCAAAGAGAGCUAUGUCGUCGUCCUUCUUGCGAUUAAGUACGUAAAUGACAAAAAAUUUAGUAAAUCGAAAGACAAAAAUUCAGUAAAUCGCAGAUAACAAAAGAAGAAUCGCAAAUUGCAAAAGAAAGAGAGAAAGAAAAUCGUAAAUCGUUGUAUUAUAUAAUCGCAAACCAGAUUCACAGUCGCCAAGAACAAUCGACGGAAAUUCCAGUUGCAAACAAGAACCGAUCGCAAAUCGCAACGCCAAGACGAGAUGCCCAAAUCGCGACAAUGAAGAAAAUCCAAACCACAAAGUCGCCGAAAUCGGAAAAGAAUGGAUUAAGGAAACACACUGUCAGAUCGAUCGUGGAAGCACACUGCCGAUCACUGGGUGGUCAAGAAGAAGAGCCAAGAAAACAAAAUCGGUUGUCAAAAUAAAAACAAAUUAAAUUACGUUUUUACCCAACUGAUACCAUCUUAGAAAUUGUUGGUGCCGAGCAGGCCCGUCGAGCGGACCUCGGGCCGAACAGACCAUGGGUCCGCCGUCUGGGCCAAAGAAGGCCCAUGGGCGAAUUUUAUAAAUGUCUCCCGUGUUCUAACAAGGGAAGGGGUUGGAAAAUAGAGAGAAUAUACUAUCUUGUGAGAGAGAGGGUUGUGUGUGUGAGCAACCGAUUUGUAAGCCCACACACCAUCAGAAACUAAUCACACUUCAUUAACUAUAACGCGAUCUCCACCCCAAGUCCACGACCAAAGAAUCACCAGAUGAAUCGCCGGUCGGAGAGGGAUUUGGGGAAGAAAUCAAAACAAAAAACGAACGAUUUAAAAAAG
rnacentral:lncRNA from 1 species